UGCAGUUUCAAUUGAAAAAUU
rnacentral:piRNA from 1 species